CACUGAAUGUGGAGGGAGGAGCACUAGAUUGCUGAGAUUGGGGGAGCCCAGCUUCUACUAUUUCCUAGACAGGUCAAGUUUGGCCUCAAUUUGUGGUGAGAUUAAAUCAGUGUUGGAACAAAUCCAAAGCAGGGUUGUGGUUGUGUUUCAGAAAGGUGACUUUGGCAGAAGUUCAGAGAAUGUUCUGUAAAGCUGAGUGACCAGAAUCAGGGAGUCUGGGUAGGAAGCUGCACUGGCCAGAUCCAUAACUGAGAUAGCGUGGGGGUGGGGAGUGGGGGGGGGGAAGGAUCAGGAACAAGGAAGGCUGUGAGGAGGGAAAGAUGGAAGAGCAAGCAGCAGUGGACAUUUUGGAGCUGGAGGAGAUAAAGAAGCAGGUGGCUGAGAGGCCCAGUCUACGCAUAUAAAGGACACCGUGGAGACUUUUAAGACACAGAAAGAGAAGAGACUGGUUAACUGCCCAGAUUAAAUCCAACCCCAACCUCUUCAAAGAAGCCAAUUUUAACCACCACGGACAGACACUGCAAUUCUGUUCUCCAUGUAUUUACUAUUUCACAAAUUGAUUGGCUUGGUAUUCUGCCUUAUGUCAUGAUUUACCCUUUUUGAAAGUUGAAUUAUAAAAGCCAUUAAAUGUAAAGUGCACUAAU